AGUGAACGCUGGCGGUAGGCCUAACACAUGCAAGUCGAACGGCAGCACAGUAAGAGCUUGCUCUUACGGGUGGCGAGUGGCGGACGGGUGAGGAAUACAUCGGAAUCUACUUUUUCGUGGGGGAUAACGUAGGGAAACUUACGCUAAUACCGCAUACGACCUACGGGUGAAAGCAGGGGAUCUUCGGACCUUGCGCGAUUGAAUGAGCCGAUGUCGGAUUAGCUAGUUGGCGGGGUAAAGGCCCACCAAGGCGGCGAUCCGUAGCUGGUCUGAGAGAAUGGUCAGCGACACUGGAAGUGGAACACGGUCCAGACUCCUACGGGAGGCAGCAGUGGGGAAUAUUGGACAAUGGGGGCAAGCCUGAUACAGCCAGACCGCGUGGGUGAAGAAGGCCUUCGGGUUGUAAAGCCCUUUUGUUGGGAAAGAAAAGCAGCAGGUUAAUACCCCGCUGUUCUGACGGUACCCAAAGAAUAAGCACCGGCUAACUUCGUG
rnacentral:rRNA from 1 species